rnacentral:lncRNA from 1 species
CCUAAUCAGCACUGGGUGGGUGGGGGGAUUUCAGACAAAAUAAUGUGGAGAUGGACAUAUUUAGCAAAUCUACUGUAGCAACCUUUCAAAAACUACAUUUGAUGCACCAUCCCUUCUCUAAACCUGAUUUCACAAACUGAAGAUGCUGAGUUCCACCAGGCUGGAGCUUCAGAGAUGCAAUGGUCUAUGAACAAGGGAAAGAAGCUGGCACAAGAUGGACCAAGAAAAUGCCACUAUAGAAACUGCCCUCCAAGGGGAAAAAGCAAUAUGUUCAAACUACAGAACCUAAACAACCCACUCCCCAACUUACCUCCAAGACAGGCCCGACUUGGAUAA